AGGAAGGCGGUAUUGGCUUCACUUCAGAUUCCUGCCAAUUUAUUUUGCAACCAGAAAACCUGGAACCUCAACCUCCUCAAGGCAACCACAGGGAGAGAGAAGAUCUGAAUUGGAAGGGAAAUCAAAGCCCUGUCCGUCUGCCAGAUGUCUGGAGCAUUUAAGAUGGAAUUAUUAGAGGGCGAUUGCUUAAAUAUGAUUGUGUGUUGAGCAUGAUUCGAUGGAACAGAACCCAAAAGUGGGUCCCUAAAAAGCUUGAAAGGAAAGACAAGCUGGAUGCCAUUUAUGGGAAUCAAUUUUGUGGCAACUUGGAGGACUUAUGAGCAGUAGAUUUGAGCCAUAAACCAUACUCAAAGAUGGGCAGGGCUGAAAGUUUGGAUCGAAAAGUAAUUUGGUGGAUGUAAAACAAGAGAAUGUUCCAGAAAUUAAGAAAGAAGACACCAAGGCAGUAAUAUUUGAAAGGAAUGAGGUUUGCUUCACAAGGCCAA